GUGGGGAAUAUUGGGCAAUGGGCGCAAGCCUGACCCAGCAACGCCGCGUGAGGGAAGAAGGCUUUCGGGUUGUAAACCUCUGUCCUUGGUGACGAAACAAAUGACGGUAGCCAAGGAGGAAGCCCCGGCUAACUACGUGCCAGCAGCCGCGGUAAUACGUAGGGGGCGAGCGUUGUCCGGAAUUACUGGGCGUAAAGGGUGCGUAGGUGGCCUUUUAAGUUGGAUGUGAAAUACCCGGGCUUAACUUGGGGGGUGCAUCCAAAACUGGGAGGCUAGAGUGCAGGAGAGGAAAGCGGAAUUCCUAGUGUAGCGGUGAAAUGCGUAGAUAUUAGGGGGAACGCCAGUGGCGAAGGCGGCUUUCUGGACUGUAACUGACACUGAGGCACGAAAGCGUGGGGAGCAAACAGGAUUAGAUACCCCAGUAGUCC
rnacentral:rRNA from 1 species